CACGUAGGGGGCAAGCGUUGUCCGGAUUUAUUGGGCGUAAAGAGCUCGUAGGUGGUUCGGUAAGUCGGGUGUGAAACCUCCAGGCUCAACCUGGAGACGCCACCCGAUACUGCUGUGACUGGAGCUCGGUAGGGGAGCGUGGAAUUCCUGGUGUAGCGGUAGAAAUGCGCAGAUAUCAGGAGGAACACCAGCGGCGAAGGCGGCGCUCUGGGCCGGUACUGACACUGAGGAGCGAAAGCGUGGGUAGCAAACAGG
rnacentral:rRNA from 1 species